GGGGCGGGGCUGCGUGUACGGCGUCAUGACGUAAGCGCACGCCGACGCGCCGGAGGGGAGGAAUGCGGCAGGCGGAAAACUUAGGAAGAGCUGGAUGCCUCCUACGGAGAGCGUCCCCUUCCAAGCGGCCCCGGAGUGGAGUGGAGUGGACAGGGGUAGACUUUUCACACGGGGACAAAUUAUUACAGGAUAUCUGCAGCCCCCCGUUCCGAGUCACUCGGGCGCAUCGGUUACUUCAGCAGGUUCUCUGCAUCACGGACCCUUUUGAGGCUCAGGCAAACUGUUCCUGGCUCUCUGGACAAGAAGUCCCAGUUCCGUUGUCAAACGGUCCAGCAAGUCCGUGACAGACGGUACAGCUGCCAAGCCGUGCAAAACAUCCACCCCCAGAAUGUCUUCAGGUAUGUGAGACACAUACACGGUGCAUAAGUGGAGAGCCAAGCAGCCGAUGCCAAGAUGCAAAGACACAGGUUUUACUUUCAUUGACCAACUUUCAUAGCUGUUUAUGCGGCUCUGCCCGGAAACUUAUCCGGGUUCAGAGACCAGUGGAUUGCCAAAUCCACAUGUGGCUCUGGUUGUCCAGUGCCCCGCAAGCCGGCACCUUGGCCAGUUCUCUUAUCAAGCAGAAAAGGCUUUAUACUUCCGCCAACUGCAGCAGGUACUCUUUGAACUGGAAUGCUCGGGUAGGACUAGGUUGCGCAGCAAUGUCCUUCUCCCGAAGGACUUGCACUAAGUCUGUACACAACUGCCGACAUUAGUUGCUUAACUCCCGCAACUCAGCGAGGACACAGGCACCAUAGGAAAUGUGUUCCACCACGAUGGGGGGUGGGGUCUCUGGGCCUCCUCUUGGGGCCCAACAGCUGUUCAUGCUCUAUUUUCUGACGGACUACCGGGCAAGCCUGCAACGGAGGUUCCUCCUCCCUGCGCUGCAUCCUGCAGGGAUUGGGCAUUAAUUUCCCUCAGCACAGUCGCAAAUGCCCAUCUGACUCUGCUGGCAAAGGUAUGUUCCUUUCAAUGCUGUGCAUUUCCAGGUGCUUCAGCGCCUUCUCCACACUCAUAGGGGAUCUGUCCACUGCCUCCCAUGUUUCCACUGGGGCUCAUCCAAGCAGCACCACUGCGACUGGGUACCACAGCUCAUGCUGUGGCCACAUAGCCGACCCGUGAGCCCUCAGGGGCUGAAGACCCACUCACCUCCUUCCAUCCUCGUCGCCAAUUGUUAGAUCCUGGGGUCUGGGUCCAGCCCAUGCUGAAGUCUAAGGGCAGUAGGUGGAUGAGCAGAAAGAACACUGGGUGGCCGGCCAUAGGCAGUUGAAUUUGGUUCUAUUUAGCAGCAGCUGUCUUACACAGCUUACUCAAACUAGCUCUUUUAGAAUGUCCACCCUGUCUUGGCUGCUUAGUCCGGCGACUCCCACACACACCUGUGUGGCCAGCUCUCCCUUGCCUUUAGGGUCAGCAACUUAACUCUUUUUCUCUCUGGACACGAGCAAGCCGAGCUGCGUCAUGGCUCCCUCCUAUCUGUCUGCAAGACAGACAGCUUUGGCUCUCUCUUUCUCUGGACGUCAACACACGCUCCAUGUCAAGCCAUAUUGAGCCGAGCCCAGAGCCCCUGUAUAGCGUUAGCAGGGCAAUUAUACCUUUUACAGACAAUAGUGGCUCAGAGCCAAGUAUGAACUUACACCAAAAGGUUAUAUAACAAGUGGAGAUGUGCGCCUGUGCGCCAAACUCACUGAGUUAUGCAGGCCUGGAUAUCCACCUGGGCCUAUCGACCAAACGACCAAAGCAUAUCCAUAUACCUUACACCACUGUUUUGAAUGUAUCAAGAGCAGAUUUAUAUAACUGGAGUAAGUUUGGGGUUAAAUUAAUAAUACAUAAUUAAAAAGCCAAAUAAAUGAACAAACAAUAACCUCAGGAAAGACAAAAAUGUAAAAGGGAAAGUAAUCAUACUAUAAUAUUAGCAUGGAUAAAAAUAGCAUUUUUCGGCUGGGUGUGGUGGCUCAUGCCUAUAAUCCCAACACUUUAGGAGGCCGAGGCCAGUGGAUCACCUGAGGUCAAGAAUUCGAGACUAGCCUGGCCAACAUGGUGAAACCCCAUCUCUAGUAAAAAAAAAAAAAAAAAAAAAAAAAA